rfam:Nitrosospira briensis strain Nsp8 genome assembly, contig: Ga0105880_110
GGAGUGGUAGUUCAGUUGGUUAGAAUACCGGCCUGUCACGCCGGGGGUCGCGGGUUCGAGUCCCGUCCACUCCG